UACGGGGGGAGCAAGCGUUGUUCGGAUUUACUGGGCGUAAAGGGCGCGUAGGCGGCGCAACAAGUCACUUGUGAAAUCUCCGGGCUUAACUCGGAAAGGUCAACUGAUACUGUGCGACUAGAGUGCAGAAGGGGCUACUGGAAUUCUCGGUGUAGCGGUGAAAUGCGUAGAUAUCAGGAGGAACACCUGAGGUGAAGACGGGUUGCUGGGCCAACACUGACGCUGAGGAGCGAAAGCAUGGGGAGCGAACAGG
rnacentral:rRNA from 1 species